CAGAUGUUUCACAUCAUAUCGCAUCAAGAAUCUUUACAAGCUAAUCCUCUCCACUUCUCUUUUUCAGCCAAGACAGCAUCCUGGUCAUAAUUUGAAGGCAAAUGUUAGACCUUUGCUCAAGGCAGAAUGAUCAUGGUGAGUUUGGACUGCUGAAGCACAUUUCUGAUACUCUACUUCUCCCGGAGUAAUGCAGAAUGGAGAAAUUUCCUUUGUCAGUGACAGCCUUUGCUCUGCGUCCCAAAACAAGGAAUACUGCACCUUUUGAGGAAGACUUGCAGUGGUGUAAUUAGAAGACAUUCAUAGCCGGGUAUGUACCAUUUCUGUAAAUUGGCAUGAGCAGCUACUUGGCAA
rnacentral:lncRNA from 1 species